UACGUAGGGUGCAAGCGUUAAUCGGAAUUACUGGGCGUAAAGCGUGCGCAGGCGGCUAUGCAAGACAGAUGUGAAAUCCCCGGGCUCAACCUGGGAACUGCAUUUGUGACUGCAUGGCUAGAGUACGGUAGAGGGGGAUGGAAUUACCGGUGUAGCGGUGAAAUGCGUAGAGAUCGGUAGGAACACCAGUGGCGAAGGCGGUCUCCUGGGGCUCACUUGACGCUGAGGCGCGAAAGCUGGGGGAGCGAACGGG
rnacentral:rRNA from 1 species